rnacentral:rRNA from 1 species
GAUGAACGCUGGCGGCGUGCUUAACACAUGCAAGUCGAACGAAGCACUUUUAAUUCUUCGGAAGAGGAAGUGACUGAGUGGCGGACGGGUGAGUAACGCGUGGGUAACCUGCCUUAUACAGGGGGAUAACAGUUAGAAAUGACUGCUAAUACCGCAUAAGCCGAUAGAGUCGCAUGACUUAGUCGGAAAAGAUUUAUCGGUAUAAGAUGGACCCGCGUCUGAUCAGCUAGUUGGUGAGGUAAUGGCCCACCAAGGCGACGAUCAGUAGCCGGCUUGAGAGAGUGAACGGCCACAUUGGGACUGAGACACGGCCCAAACUCCUACGGGAGGCAGCAGUGGGGAAUAUUGCACAAUGGGGGAAACCCUGAUGCAGCAACGCCGCGUGAAGGAAGAAGCAUUUCGGUAUGUAAACUUCUAUCAGCAGGGAAGAAAAUGACGGUACCUGACUAAGAAGCCCCGGCUAACUACGUGCCAGCAGCCGCGGUAA